AUUUAUAUAAUAUAAUAUAUUAUUUUUAACUUCCAAUUAAAAAAUCUAAAUAAACUUUUAGUAUAAAUA
rnacentral:tRNA from 1 species